rnacentral:lncRNA from 10 species
AGACUGGACUCUUACUUCCUAUUUAUUAUGGCCCACCAUGAUCUCUGCAAUACUUGCAUGGAGCCUAAGUUAAAGCCUGAAAAAACAGCUAGGCAUGGUGGCAUGCACCUAUAGUCUGAGCUACUCAGGAGGCUGAAGUGGGAGGAUUGCUUGAGUACAGGAGUUCAAGGCUGCAGUAUGCUAUGAUCACAUCUAUGAACAGCCACUGUAUUCCAGCCUGGGCAACAUAGCUAGACCCUAUCUUAUUUAAAAAAGAAAAGAAAGGAAAAAAAGCUGGAAAAAAAUAAAAGGAAGUGCUGCAUGACACUAUUCAGGGAGAUGAGGUUAAUAGUUUUUAAGCAUGUGGUUUUCAUCCUAUUUUAUACCUUACUAUAAGGUAUAAAAGUAGAAAUAGGGACCUUGUAGAUCCAGUACUGACUUGGCAGAUAAGAGGAGAAAGCAGUCCAGAGGAGAAACCCUACUCAACGAG